rnacentral:rRNA from 1 species
GAGGAAUAUUGGUCAAUGGACGUAAGUCUGAACCAGCCAAGUAGCGUGCAGGAUUGACGGCCCUAUGGGUUGUAAACUGCUUUUGUUGGGGAGUAAAGUGGGGCACGCGUGCCUUUUUGCAUUUACCCUUCGAAUAAGGACCGGCUAAUUCCGUGCCAGCAGCCGCGGUAAUACGGAAGGUCCAGGCGUUAUCCGGAUUUAUUGGGUUUAAAGGGAGUGUAGGCGGUCUGUUAAGCGUGUUGUGAAAUUUAGGUGCUCAACAUUUAACUUGCAGCGCGAACUGGCGGACUUGAGUGCACGCAACGUAUGCGGAAUUCAUGGUGUAGCGGUGAAAUGCUUAGAUAUCAUGACGAACUCCGAUUGCGAAGGCAGCGUACGGGAGUGUUACUGACGCUUAAGCUCGAAGGUGCGGGUAUCGAACAGGAUUAGAUACCCUGGUAGUCCGCACGGUAAACGAUGGAUGCCCGCUGUUAGCGCCUGGCGUUAGCGGCUAAGCGAAAGCAUUAAGCAUCCCACCUGGGGAGUACGCCGGCAACGGUG